GCCGUAUCCCAAAUGGCUCCCUAUAUAGUGCACUACUUUAGACCAGAGACCUAUGGAACCCUAUUCCCUACAUAGUGCACUACUUUAGACCAGGGCCCUAUGGGUGUCCCUAUGGGCCCCAGAUAUAAGUAGUGCACCAUAUAGGGAAUAGGGUGCCAUUUGGACCUAACCGAGGGUUUGUCAUCAGGUAUUGCCAUAUAUAGGGGCCCUGAGGCCCGGGGGAACAGUAUUCUAGACGGACAGAGAGAAGAGAGAUGAAGCUACUAAAUAUCCUCUGCUUCUGCCUGGCUGUCCUCGCCUCCACUUGGGUUUCUGGGGCAUGAAGAGAAGGACUAGAAGGAUGUUAUCA
rnacentral:lncRNA from 13 species